rnacentral:lncRNA from 1 species
UUCUUAUUAGUCACUUAUUAUUCACCUAAUUAUUUUUAUAUUUUUAUUAUUAAAGAGAAAAAAAAUGGAGGUGUUACAAAAGAAAAAACAGAAGCACAUGGUAAAAUUAUACUGAACCGAACCCGAAACGAAAAAACCAAAAAUUUUGGUUCAAUCCAGUUCGACUGGUUCUGACAAAAACCACAGCGCUAGUUUAUAUGGUUACACCUGCAAUUGGUUGUUUUUGUAAUGACAAGGAAGGAUUGGUCUUUAGAGAGUUGAAUGCCAUUGGGAAAACGCCAGACCUUCCAGCACAAUGUGUGCUGUUUUGGUAGGUGGGUCAUAUCUUGGAACCCUUCCUGUUGAUUUCUCCUUCAAGCAAUAUGAAAAAUGAUUCAUACACAAAAACAAAGUCUAAUCCUGCAUAAAACUUCAUCUCAACAAGAAUGCAAAUGAUGAUAAGACAAAUACAAUAUAUCAAAGAGAAAACAAGAAUGUUUGGUAGCAUACUUUCAUAAAUGAAAUAAAUGUGAAGGUCAUAAAUCUGGAAACAUGUCUAGUUGAUGUAAUCUUUCAGGCAAAGACAUGGGAUCCUUUUAGCAACUAUACAUCAAACAUGUGAUGACUCUCCUAUUUCAUCUGUAAUGAUGCCUUAACUUGAUUCCCACAAGAAGCAGUUCAAGCAAGCCUUACAGAUCUUUUAAGUUGUUCGAAUGGAACCGCAUAAGCUUGAUCUGUCUUCAUCAACUACCUCCAUGACAAGAACUUUGUUUCACAAUACAAUAUUGACAUUGGAACUGAACGUUUAGAUAACUUCCACUCCACUAAGAGGUAACUGCACUGGCUUGAAAGGUCUGCUCAUUUCCAAUAAACCGCAAUGGCAGUAAAGAAGCAUCUGUGUGAGACUCAAUCUCAAGAAAAAUGAUAUCAUAUAAGCACCAGACAUCUUCAAACUGAAGACAAACACAACUAUGAUCCAACCAAAGUUGUUCGAAUGGAACCACAUAAGCUUGAUCCGUCUUCAUCAACUACCUCCAUGACAAGAACUUUGUUUCACAAUACAAUAUUGACAUUGAAACUGAACGUUUAUAUAACUUCCACUCCACUAAGAGGGAACUGCACUGGCUUGAAAGGUCUGCUCAUUUCCGAAUAGGAAAGGUUUCUUUUUCGGCGGAUUAAAAAUCCGAAGCAGUGAUUGUUUAGCUAAGUCGAAAGACCAAACUAUGAAUCUGCUGUUUCGAGGAUAGAGAGAAACUUUUUUUGUCUGGUCGUCUUCACUUAUAGUAAUGGACCAAGGUAUGGAUCUAUUUCUAUAUAGAGAGUUUGCUUACAAAGGAAUAAACCAGAAUGAAUUAACGUUGUAAACGGUAAACCAUGAUUAAACCGAUGCUAAUAGGGUCAAUGACCAUCAAUUUUUGGUCCAACUAUAAAUCUUAGAAGUACCUUAGCCUAUUUCUAUAUAGAGAGUUUACAAAGGGAUAAACCGGAAGGAAUUAACGUUGUAAACGGUAAACCCUGAUUAAACCGAUGCUAAUAGGGUCAACCACCAUCGAUUUUCGGUCCAACUAUAAAUCUUAGAAGGAUAAUCAAAUUGAAAAGUCCAAGUUUAGGAGCUCAAUUCUUGAAGACCGUUAAGAAUUCCAAAUUAAAAAGGUUUGUAUUUUUACAUUUUCGUUCAAAAGUUAUAAAAUGAUGACUAUAGUAUUACUACAUGUAAUGCAAUAUUUAAAUUUAUAUACAAUUGGGUAUGAGAUAUGACAAGGCGUUGAAUGCAGAGAUAAUGGCCAAAGAACAAAUCAACAGGAUUGUACUUUGUUUUCCAUUUUUUUUUCCUGUUUGUAUAACGUAUGUAUAUAUGCAUGAAGAUUAUGCUAAUUAAUUAAAGUUAUUGAGUUUUUUUUAAAAUUGGGUUAAUGUAUAUUUGGGGUUUGAAUAAUCAAAUAUUUGUAAUGUGUAGCUUGUGUAUUAAACAGAAGGAAAGUAAGUUCAUGUGAUAUUUGUGAAUUUGUGUAUAUAAGUAGCUACGUUUGUGUCUUUUAGGCUUUAUUAACUUGGACUGGUUGAUUGUAUGCGAGGAAGAAGAUACUUGAUAAUUAAACCUCUACAUGGCAACCAAAACAAGAUGAUGAAUAAUAAAAAAAAACAACACACAGAAGAAAAACACAGUUUUAGUUUUAAUAUAAGGAUAUUGUAUCCUUUUUACAAAUUACAAACUAAAAAGAAAGUAUGUGAACAUUAAAGUUGUCAAUUUCUAGAGAGAUCAUAGAGUAAAUCUCUACAUAUAUGAAAUAUAAAACUAGUGCAUUCCAUUCACAUAUUAAUUUUCUUAUGUAAUACAUUAUUUGUAAGUAAUAAUACAUCCAUAACUAAGAAAAUAAGAAGGUGAAAAACAAUAUAUAAAAUAAAAUUUAGUUAAGCUAUGCAUGCUUGAAGCUCCUCAUUGAAGGAACGAUCGAUUCAGAAACAACAAAGACUAUAUAUCACUUUGGAGGCGGCUUGAUUGUGACAUGGUUCCUUGCCUCGACCUCAGUCACGAUCAUCAUUACCAUCAUCAAAACGAUGACGAAGGAGGCGAUUAGGGUUUUCUUUUCGAUAGCCAUAAUGUUUAAUAAGCUCUUAAACGGGUCUUGAUUGUUUUUCUUUUCUGGUCUCU